UACGUAGGUGGCAAGCGUUGUCCGGAUUUAUUGGGCGUAAAGCGCGCGCAGGCGGCCCCUUAAGUCUGAUGUGAAAUCUUGCGGCUCAACCGCAAGCGGUCAUUGGAAACUGGGGGACUUGAGUACAGAAGAGGAAAGCGGAAUUCCACGUGUAGCGGUGAAAUGCGUAGAGAUGUGGAGGAACACCAGUGGCGAAGGCGGCUUUCUGGUCUGUAACUGACGCUGAGGCGCGAAAGCGUGGGGAGCAAACAGG
rnacentral:rRNA from 1 species